rnacentral:rRNA from 1 species
CCUACGGGCGGCAGCAGUGAGGAAUAUUGGUCAAUGGACGAGAGUCUGAACCAGCCAAGUAGCGUGAAGGAUGACUGCCCUAUGGGUUGUAAACUUCUUUUAUAUGGGAAUAAAAUGUUCCACGUGUGGGAUUUUGUAUGUACCAUAUGAAUAAGGAUCGGCUAACUCCGUGCCAGCAGCCGCGGUAAUACGGAGGAUCCGAGCGUUAUCCGGAUUUAUUGGGUUUAAAGGGAGCGUAGGUGGAUUGUUAAGUCAGUUGUGAAAGUUUGCGGCUCAACCGUAGAAUUGCAGUUGAAACUGGCAGUCUUGAGUACAGUAGAGGUGGGCGGAAUUCGUGGUGUAGCGGUGAAAUGCUUAGAUAUCACGAAGAACUCCGAUUGCGAAGGCAGUUCACUGGACUGCAACUGACACUGAGGCUCGAAAGUGUGGGUAUCAAACAGGAUUAGAUACCCCUGUAGUC